AGAGAAUGGAAUAGAAGAAGUCAAGAUUGGACAGGACAUGAGUUAGGAGAGAGGGUGAUGGCUUGGACCAAGGUGAUGGUCCUGGAGACAAAGAGAAAUUUGCAGCUUUCAGAUGUGUUUUUACAUGGAAGGAAGAACUGAACAGACAUGCUGAUGGGCUGAACAAGAGGAAUCCAGCCUAAGGAGACAGUCAGAAGUGCUCACCAAGAUUCAGAGGUUCUUCAUUGCCUUACCAUAUUUGUAAGUCAAAAACUGGAAGCUACCACAGGGUCCAGCCUUAUGAGAGUGGUGCAGUCAAUCCCAGAUCUUCCAUAUGACAGGGAGCUGGUCAUCCUUCAAAGUGCUGCUUACUAAGAUGACAAUGAGAUUGGAAAAUUCUCAUUAAAUAAACAAAUGGCUGGGUAAGUGCUUACUGCAUGGUGUAUUCAUGUUAGUAGAGAAAUAUCUACAAAAUACGCUCGUGGUAAACUCUAUAAAUCAUGAAAAUGUAAAACUGCAAGAAAUCUCAAGGUCAUCGUUUCAAAAUGCAUGCUAUAGUUGAGCAAAAGAAAAAAUCAGUGAAGACGAAGAGGCUGAAGAGUUCCUCAUUUAAGCUGUGACAUUUGAUCCCAUUAGUGGGAAAAGACCUGAACUGAGAAGGACCUGUGUCCUCGCCCCUGGUUUUGUUGCUGUUGCUUUGCUGGGUGACCUUGGAGACACCAUUGAAUGUCUCUUGGCUCAGCUUUUUCACGGUUAAAUGAGACAGUUGGUAAUUCCUUGUUUUUCAGAGUUUGCAUGGUUUGGAUGCCAUUGGCUCUUCCUUAUAGCAGGGAGAUUUUCAGCUGCAAAGAGCGGUGGAGUUCCUCUCUCCCAGCCCAAUCGUAAUUCGGCUUAUGUGCAGAAGGCAGAAGACCUUCCCAAGGGUACACAAUGCUUCUGUAAAUAGCAGUUUAUAGACUUCAGCAGAAGAAGCAGAAGCAAACAGAGGAAGUGAAAAUGACCACUAGAAGAAAAACUGAUGACAGAAAAACAAAAUCAAUUAGCCUUUAUCUUUAAAAAAAUCAACUAUGACUUGAAUUGAUUUCAAAUAAAAUAUUUCGAUCUUUAUGAGA